AAUCAUCGGCCAUUUCGCCUCCAUACUCAGUGGAUAACAGCAUAUGAAGGCUUAUCCUGGCCUUAUUCGAUGCAAAUCUGAGGGUUUUGUUAUGCUCAACCUCAAUCCCCAUCUAGCUUCGAUUACCACGAAGCAAACAAGGAUCCGAAGCCUUCUAAGCAAGAUAAGUAUUUAUGCUUUCGUUUAUUUUGUUUUUUACAUACAAUAACAAAAGAUCAAAGAAAAAUGGAAGCGAAAACAAAAAAAAAUGAGAUUUACAAUCACCUCUUCAAAACUGUUUUUUUUUUUAUUCAAACUUUUUGAACAAAUUUGCAUGCGUAAAUCCCCCCUUUACAACUGUUUGUUUUUAGGCUUUUAUCCCCGAGAGAAAAAAAAAAGAAUACAAAUAUAUUUGUUUUCUUUGUUGUGCUGCUGUUGGCUUCUUGUGUUUGUGCAGGUAUGACGUUUGCUGGCACGUACGAAGGUUGACGUGGAGGUGGUGUGUGGAGGCCAUACGGAAGCUGCUGGUGGCUACGGCGCUAAGAAGAAGGCUAGGGUUUCUGUCUUUUUUUGGUUUUUAGGCUAGGGUUAGUCUUGGGCCAGGGUAGUUGGGUUUAAAAUUGGGUUUUUGGGUAUUAGGCCAUUGUAAUUGUUUUGGGCUAUUUUGUAAUAUUUGGACUGAUGGACUUUCAUUUAUUUAGUCUCUAUUUUUUAUUUUUUAGUCUAGGCCAAAAUUGGCCUAUUACAGCCCUAACUGAUACUGGACUGUCACUAAAACGGGCUUAGGCCCAAAAUGUACUUGCCUACUGUUUGACUGACUAUUGUAAAGGAAUUACACACUGAGUUUUCAUAAACUCACCCUUCU
rnacentral:lncRNA from 1 species